GCCUUCGUGGUGUAGUGGUCAGCACACUCGACGCGUACUCUAGAGGUCCGUGGUUCGAGUCUCGGCGAGGACA
rnacentral:tRNA from 1 species